GACGAACGCUGGCGGCGUGCCUAAUACAUGCAAGUCGAGCGGACUUAAAAAGCUUGCUUUUUAAGUUAGCGGCGGACGGGUGAGUAACACGUGGGCAACCUGCCUGUAAGACUGGGAUAACUUCGGGAAACCGGAGCUAAUACCGGAUAAUCCUUUCCUACUCAUGUAGGAAAGCUGAAAGACGGUUUACGCUGUCACUUACAGAUGGGCCCGCGGCGCAUUAGCUAGUUGGUGAGGUAAAGGCUCACCAAGCCGACGAUCUGUAGCUGGUCUGAAAGGACGACCAGCCACACUGGGACUGAGACACGGCCCAGACUCCUACGGGAGGCAGCAGUGGGGAAUUUUGGACAAUGGACGCAAGUCUGAUCCAGCCAUUCCGCGUGCAGGAUGAAGGCCCUCGGGUUGUAAACUGCUUUUGUACGGAACGGAAAGGUCUCUCUUAAUACGGGGGACUCAUGACGGUACCGUAAGAGUAAGCACCGGCUAACUACGUGCCAGCCGCCGCCGUAA
rnacentral:rRNA from 1 species